CAGCCGCCGCGGGAAUACGAAGGGGGCUAGCGUUGCUCGGAAUGACUGGGCGUAAAGGGCGCGUAGGCGGAUCACGCAGUCAGAUGUGAAAUUCCUGGGCUUAACCUGGGGGCUGCAUUUGAGACGCGUAGUCUAGAGUGUGAAAGAGGGUCGUGGAAUUCCCAGUGUAGAGGUGAAAUUCGUAGAUAUUGGGAAGAACACCGGUGGCGAAGGCGGCGACCUGGUUCAUAACUGACGCUGAGGCGCGAAAGCGUGGGGAGCAAACAGGAUUAGAUACCCCUGUAGUCCCUGUCUCUUAUAC
rnacentral:rRNA from 1 species